GAUGAACGCUGGCGGCGUGCCUAAUACAUGCAAGUCGAGCGAACAGACGAGGAGCUUGCUCCUCUGACGUUAGCGGCGGACGGGUGAGUAACACGUGGAUAACCUACCUAUAAGACUGGGAUAACUUCGGGAAACCGGAGCUAAUACCGGAUAAUAUAUUGAACCGCAUGGUUCAAUAGUGAAAGACGGUUUUGCUGUCACUUAUAGAUGGAUCCGCGCCGCAUUAGCUAGUUGGUAAGGUAACGGCUUACCAAGGCAACGAUGCGUAGCCGACCUGAGAGGGUGAUCGGCCACACUGGAACUGAGACACGGUCCAGACUCCUACGGGAGGCCGCAGUAGGGAAUCUUCCGCAAUGGGCGAAAGCCUGACGGAGCAACGCCGCGUGAGUGAUAAAGGUCUUCGGAUCGUAAAACUCUGUUAUUAGGGAAGAACAAAUGUGUAAGUAACUAUGCACGUCUUGACGGUACCUAAUCAGAACGCCACGGCUAACUACGU
rnacentral:rRNA from 1 species